ACUCCCAACCCAAUGUGAACCAUACCAAACUGUUGCCUCGGCGGGGUCACGCCCCGGGUGCGUCGCAGCCCCGGAACCAGGCGCCCGCCGGAGGGACCAACCAAACUCUUUCUGUAGUCCCCUCGCGGACGUUAUUUCUUACAGCUCUGAGCAAAAAUUCAAAAUGAAUCAAAACUUUCAACAACGGAUCUCUUGGUUCUGGCAUCGAUGAAGAACGCAGCGAAAUGCGAUAAGUAAUGUGAAUUGCAGAAUUCAGUGAAUCAUCGAAUCUUUGAACGCACAUUGCGCCCGCCAGUAUUCUGGCGGGCAUGCCUGUCCGAGCGUCAUUUCAACCCUCGAACCCCUCCGGGGGUCCGGCGUUGGGGAUCGGGAACCCCUAAGACGGGAUCCCGGCCCCGAAAUACAGUGGCGGUCUCGCCGCAGCCUCUCCUGCGCAGUAGUUUGCACAACUCGCACCGGGAGCGCGGCGCGUCCACGUCCGUAAAACACCCAACUUCUGAAAUGUUGACCUCGGAUCAGGUAGGAAUACCCGCUGAACUUAAGCAUAUCAAAA
rnacentral:rRNA from 1 species